UCUCUUCCUCCCCCAUUUCUUCUUCAUUUUCUUUCUUUCUUACAAAUUAUUCUUUUUCUUCUUUCUUUUCUUUUUUUCUUCAUCCCCUUCCCGAACCUCUUCUUCUUCUUCUCCCUAUUUCAUCAACCAUCACACAUCAUCAACAAAAUGCUUGCAGCCAUGGCUGGAUGCAGAACCCAAAUCGCAAGACCCUAACCUAGAUCUAUGGACGAUGAUAAGGAAGCUUUUAGCCAUGGUCCUCAGAUCUUUUGCUGGAUUUUUAGAAAAAGAUGAAGAACCAAUUCUUUGCGAGAUGGUGACUUUGUCGUGGGUAUCGCAAGAUCUUCGGGGUAUCACAAUGAGUCUUCAUUGUUCGCCACGCAUGGGUCUUCGCUAUGGGGAUUUGGGCAAUGAUGAAGAUGAACAUGGGCAUAACAAUGUUGGGUCAGGUUGCUAGGAUUAUUUAGAGUGAUAUUUAUCAAUUUUGAUUUGGGUGUUGUGUAAGAUUUUUAUAAUAGAUUUAAGAAAGAAAUGAAAGGUUGGUUGGGUUUCUGAGUGCCGAAGAAGGAAGAUGUAGAAAGAGUUAUGGCUUUGAUUUUUUUUUUUUUGUCUUCAAGUUUUAGUUUUAGGUUUCUUGUUUUGUUUCCAAUUUUUGAAUUAAUCAAUAAAUUUAAUUUUUUUAA